rnacentral:piRNA from 1 species
UGUGACUGUAAUUAUUUCCCAAGAAGGGC